AAAAAAUGUUGAAGAGGGAGCGGGUCGCACGGAAUGAAGAGGAGAAACAGCUGGAUGACAGGAAGGGGCAGAAGCAUCACGGCUCUUGGCCCUGAGUUUGUUGACCUGAGACUCGGCGAUGUCUGCUCUCUCCUGUGCCUCCUCCAGCUCAUGCUGCACCUUCCUGAACCUGGACAGGGUACCCAGAAGACCGGCUUUGAAGAACACCUGGUUUAGUGAAAAUGUAUCAAAACUAAGUAAAGCAACGAUCAGAAAUGAUUGAAUCUACAUAUUCAGCAUGACGGCUUGCUGAUUAAAACC